GGAGUGUGUAAUUGUGGCUCAGUGAUAGAGCAUCUAUGCAGCAUGCAGAAGGCCCCAGGUUCAAUCCCUGGCAUCUCCA
rnacentral:tRNA from 1 species